rnacentral:telomerase_RNA from 1 species
CAAACGUAUUGUAAAUGGCGGGUGACGUGCUGGGAACUAUAGUACCUCGAAGGUGCUCAUGAAAGUUUCCAUUGGCUUAUAACCUAACCUAAUCAUAGCCAAAGCAUAAUUGAUUCUUCCUUCGGGAAGAAUAAGGGCUAAGCGGCUGGUUUAUAAUACCAUUUGCGCCCAGGUUGGAGACUGGUUUCUGCAGCCCUUCUUCCAGACAAAAAAGUUAUUGGGUAAUCUACGCGUCACCCCUUGUUUUGGCCAUUAGCGAUUUACUUUUU